rnacentral:misc_RNA from 1 species
UUUCCGUAGGUGAACCUGCGGAAGGAUCAUUAAAAAAUUGGACUCCAUUGGUGAGUUCAUUAAUAAUCCCUACCCUUUGUGGAUUUGUUUGUUUGAAUAAUUUUUCUUCCAAAAAAAAUUAUUGAAUGUCUUUCCCUGUUUUGGUGGAGCUUGUAAAGUGAAACCAGGCAGGGGAAUGGCAAACAAUAAUUAUUUUUGAAAAAAGACCUUUUUUUAAAAUUAAACUUUUUGUAUUCAUUUGUCUAAAAUUAUUUUUAUAAUAUAAAACAACUUUUGACAAUGGAUCUCUUGGUUCUCGCAACGAUGAAGAACGCAGCAAAAUGCGAUAAGUAGUGUGAAUUGCAGAAUACGUGAAUCAUCGAAUCUUCGAACGCAUAUUGCACUUUUUUAGUUUACUAAAAAAGUAUGUCUGUUUGAGUAUCAGUAAAAUAUUCUCAUAAAAAACAUUGUUUUUUUAUGGUUAUGAGUGUUUUACAACGAUAACAAGUUGUUUCACUUUAAAUUCUUUGUUAUCAAAAAAAUCAUUAAAAGCUAAUUUUAAAGAUUUUUUAAAAUUGGAUAAAAUUUUCCCGUAAAAAGGAAUAACCUAAACAAUUUUAAAAAAUUAAAAUUGGUUUGAUUUUUUUUGAAACCCAAAGGAAAAAAAAACGAAAUUAACUUGAUCUCAAAUCAGAUAAGAGUACCCGCUGAACUUAAGCAUAUCAAUAAGCGGAGGAAAAGAAACUAACUAGGAUUCCCUCAGUAACGGCGAGUGAAGCGGGAAGAGCUCAAAUUUGAAAUCUUCAAGGUUUUACCUUGACGAAUUGUAGUUUAAAGAAGUGUUUUCUGUUGGAGUUUUGGUAAAAGUUCUUUGGAAAAGGACAUCAUAGAGGGUGAGAAUCCCGUAUUUGACCAUUAUCUCCAGCUUUGUGAUACACUUUCAAAGAGUCGGAUUGUUUGGGAAUGCAGUCCAAAAUGGGUGGUAAAUUUCAUCUAAAGCUAAAUACUGGCGAGAGACCGAUAGCGAACAAGUACCGUGAGGGAAAGAUGAAAAGAACUUUGAAAAGAGAGUUAAACAGUACGUGAAAUUGUCAAAAGGGAAGCGUUUGACACCAGUGUUGUUUUCUCGAAAAUCAAUUAAAAAAGGCCGGAUUUUGUGUUGUAUUGACUUUAUCAGCUUUCUGCACUUUUUUCUUGUCUUUUUUAAUGCACUUUUCGUUUAACAAGUCAACAUCAAUUUCUUUUGUUGUAAAAGGGUCAUUGGAAGGUGGCUUUCUUUUCGGAGAAAGUGUUAUAGCCUUUGGCCUCUGCAAUCGGAGAGAUUGAGGUCUGCAGCGUAGAUCCUUCGGGGUUAGAUACAUUUGUGCUAAGUUAUAGCCUUUCAUAGACAACUUGUUGACUAUGAUCAGUCAUGUAGCUUACUCGCUUAUGCUAUUUUACCUACGCUUAGGAUGUUGAA